GGCACGGAUGUGGAGCAUAUAGUUACAAGAUGGUUACAUUGAAUAGUGACUAAGUUAUUGUAACACGUGGAUUUGUUUUGGUCUGAAUUCAAAGUCAUUCCAUUCCAGCACCGGGGUCCAACUGUAUUUGGUUCCAUCCGUCUUCGCAUCAUCUCUGACCAGCUGCUGCCUUGAAGAAAAGCAUUCUGACAGUGUAAGACUGCCAGUGACUGUGGAUGCAGUGGACUGAAAGAAAGUCAAGGAUUCAAAAGCAACAUGAACCGAUCUCCACCGCCCAUAGCUCAGUGUUCCUUCUCGUUCAGGCUCCACUCCAUCAGCUGAAUGAGAGAGAGAGACUCGACUACCUUGGAGCCCGGAGUCAUGAUGUGGAGCUUUGCAU